UCUGCCCCGAAAGCCGGCCCCUCUACCCCGCCAUGACCUCCUGCCUGCCCCGGCCGCAGGCCACCCUCUAUCUCCGGGCCGAGCUUCCCGCCGAGCCCCACGCCAUCCCCUACCUCCCCGGGCCCCACACCUGGCCCUCCCUGGUCCUGGCCGACAGCCCGCCGCAGGCCCCCAUCGUCAUCCCCGGGGAGCCCCCGCCGCAGCCGCCCGUCGUCGUGCCCCCCGACGACCCCCCCAAGCACCCCGCGGUGGUCCACCCGGACCCCGUAAAGAAGCCCACCAUCUUCUGGAUGGAGGAGCCCGCUCCCAACCUCCCCUCCAUCAUGGGCGUCCCGACCCGCCCCAAGCAGCCCCUGCGUCUGCCCACCCCGGGGAGGCGCAGCAGGUCGGAGCCCCGAAGUUCGAAGCCCCUUCUCCUAAUGCGGGACGCUGCUGCUCCGGCUCCCGACAGCUCGGGAACCCCUCCUUCUCCCGCUCCCGACAGCUCUACGGCCCUUCUUUCACCCGCCCCCGACAGCUCAGGGACCCCUCCUUCUCCCGCCCCCGACAGCUCGGGGACCCUUCCUGCCCCCACCCCCGACAGCUCUGCAACCCCUCCUUCCCCCGCCCCAGACAGCUCAGGGACCCUCCUUUCCCUCGCCCCCGACAGCUCAGCGAUACCUCCUUCCCCCUCACCUGCCAACUCGGUGAUCCGCCUUUCUCCCGCCCCCGACAGCUCUGCGCCCCUUCCUUCCCCGGUCCCCGACAGCUCUGCGCCCCUUCCUUCAGCCCCAGACAGCUCUGUCGCAACUCCUUCCCUGGCUCCCCACAGCUCCGCCACCCCUCCUUCCGUCCCCGACAGCUCUGUGACCCCUCCUUCCCUGGCCCCCGACAGCUCUGCGAGCCCGCCUUCCAUCCCCGACAGCUCGGGGACCCUUCUUUCCCCAGCCCCGGACAGCUCGAUGGCCCCACCUUUCCCCGCCCCCGACAGCUCGGUGAACCCUUUUUUCCCUGCCCCCGACAGCUCGGUGACCCCUCCUUCCGCCCCCGACAGCUCGGGGACCCCUUACAGUUCUGGGUCCCCCCCCAGCCGAGGCUCCAGCAUUGCCUCCAGGGGCCACUUGGGGACUCCUGCUGCUCCCCACCUGGUGCUCACUCCCGGGAGUCGCUCGGAAACCCCUCCCAGUUUCCGCGCAGUGCUCACCUCCGGGAGUCACUGGGUAAACCAUUCUAGUCCCCACCCCGUGCUCACCUCCGGGAGUCACUCGGGGAGUCCUCCUAGUCCCCGGGCUGUGCUCAUAUUCAGGAGUCACUCGGGGAGUCGUCCUAGUCCCCGGGCCGUGCUCACCUCCGGGAGUCGCAAGGGGAGUCCUCCUAGUCCCCGCGCCGUGCUCACCUCCAGGAGGCCCUCGGGGAGCCCUCCGAGUCACGCGGGGAGUCCUCCUAGUCCCCGAGCUGUGCUCAGACCUGGGAAUGUGAGGACCCCUCCUGGUUCUCAAGCCGGGCUCCCCUCUGAGAAUUAUUUGUCGACAUCUGUCUCGGGGACUCCUCCUAGCCUGCGCGCGCUCAUGGCUUCUAGAGGCGGUCUGGAGCCCCCUCCUCACCCCAAAAGACUCAGCAUCUCAGGGGGACCCGCGAAGCCCCCUUCUCAUCCGGGGGGCCUUAGCAUCUUUAGGAAGCGUCUGGAAGCCCCUGCUCCCCCGCAAACCCUCAGCGUCUCUGGGAGUCGUCCAGAGCCCCUUCCUCGGGCCAAAGCCCCCACUUUAAAAUCCCUCCUCAAGCGCCCCAACAAGGUGACGGAGGCUUUGGCGGCUGAGGCCGCCCGGCCCUACUGGAUCACUGUCCUGAAGAACCACAGGGACCCUGGCCCCAAGACGGAGCCUUUGGUUUACCCCUCCCUCCUCAAGGCUGAUCCUCCUCCUCCUCUGCCCUUCAUCAUAGUGUCUGAGCCCCAACAAACUCCACCCCCUUUCUUCAAGAGUGAGCCUCAGAUGCCCGUUCCCUCUAACGUCAGUUCUGAGGGUCUUCCUUGCCCCCCCAUCUUCUAUAUUGAGCCUUCAGUUCGCGUCCCCCCCAUCAUCAGGUUCGAGUCCCCCAUCCUCAGACCUGAGACUCCUCCCGACUCCUCCAGUUCAGAGCCUCUUCCCGACUCCUCCAAUAGCUCUGAGCCUACUCCUGACUCCUCUAGUUCUGAGCCUACUCUCGACUCCAUCAGCAGGGCUGAGCCUCCUCCAGACUCCAUCAUCACCAGGGAUGAGCCUCCUCCCGACUUCUCCAUUGGCUCUGAGCCGCCUCCUGACUCCAUCACCAGGGCUGAGCCGCCUCCUGACUCCAUCUCUAAGCUGGAUUCUUCCAUCACCUCUGAGCCUACUUCUGACAACCCCAUGAGCUCUGAGCCGCCUCCUGACUCCAUCCCCAAGGCUGAGCCUCCUCCCGACUCCUCCAUCCCCUCUGAGCUUUCUCCUGACUCCCCCAUCACCUCUGAACCUCCUCCCGACUCCCCCAUCACCUCUGAACCUCCUCCCGAUGCCAUCACCUCUGAGCCUCCUCCCGAUUCUCCCAUCAUCAGCUCUGAACCCGAUUCUUCCAUCAAUUCUAAGCCUACUUCUGACUCCAAUGCUGAGCCUCCUCCCAACUCCGCCAUCAUCAGCUCUGAGCCCCCUCCUGACUCUCCCAUCAUCAGCUCUGAGCUUCCUCCUGACUCCAUUUCCAAGACUAAACUUUCUCUUGAUCCUUUUAUCAACAGCUUUGAGCCCUCUUCAAGCCAUUAGUUUUGAACCCCUUAUUCCUCUCCCCUCAUCUCUGAACCCUCUCUUCACCCCACUCUCCCAUCAACAGCUCUCAGCUCCCUUCUUACCCCAAUCAGGAUCUCCUCUCCGGUUCCUCCAUCAGCUACAUUAGCUUUGAGCUAAUUUAUCCUCCCUCUCUUCUAUUGCCUCUGAUCCCCCUCCCUAUACCACACUUAUUAUACCUCUGGGCCCCCUUUUCUCCUCCCUUCCAUCAUUAGCUCUGAACCCCCUAUUCCUUUACAACCAUCAUUGAUCCUGAGCCCCCUCCUCACCCCUCCAUAAGUUCUCAGCCUCUUUUCCAUUCCUUAUUAUCAGAUCUUAACCCCUUAAUUAGUUUUGAGCCCCUUUUCAGAACUUUACUUUUUCCUGUACUAAGCACUGAGCCUGAAAGACCCUAGUCCUCCCUGUUCUAGGCCUCGUCUUCUCUAACUCUGAGCCCCCUUUUUCUCACUAUCUUUAUUCCCCUCAGCUUUGAGCCAGUCCUCAGGACCCCUGAGACCCCUUUAGCUCUGAGCCCUCUUUUCAUCUUCUUCUCCCAGCUCCAAAUAGACAUUUUCUAGCCUCCUUAAACACAAAUUGCCCCUACCCUAGCUCUGAGCUUCAUGUCCCCCCCUUGCUCAGAUUAGCCUUUCCAGCUCCAAUUCCCAUUCUUCCCUUUCAACAUUGCCCCAUUUUCCAAGUCUCUCUUGCUCCUAUCCUUGCAUGGCCCUGUUCCCCCUUGGCAGAGACACAGAAGGUCAGUGUUACUUUGUGAAAGUCUAGAGAAUACUUUAGGAGUUCAUAAAUAAGCUUAAUGUUGUUUAUAACUUUCAAUAUGAUCGCUACUAUUUUGUAUUUUAUGCAUUAAAAACCAGAAAGGAUCCCUAGGUUUCCCCAGACUACCCCGUUGGUCCAGGAUACAAAAAACACUAACCCCUCCCUCCCAACCUCAAGGAGACCUUUUCUGGAAACAAAGCGUAUCUGCUUCUGCCUUGCCUCAGAAACAAAAGACAUGGACCAAAGGAAGACCCAAAGUUGAGCAUGUGUUGAGCUGCAGUCAACAAGACUCGCUUCCUGGUGCUGACAUGCAUUCAGCUCCCCAAGUGAAGAUCCCAGCUAGAGAGAUGGUGUCGCUUAAUAAGAAGUCCGUGACAUUCAAGGAUGUUGCUGUGGAUUUCACCGAGGAGGAAUGGAGACGCCUGAACCCUGCUCAGAGGCAGCUGUACAGGGAUGUGAUGCUGGAGAACUACAGAAACCUAAUUUUUCUAGAGGGAGGGGAAGAGCCAUGGACAGUGGAGAGAGAAAUCUCAGGAAGCACCUGUGCAGUGCAGCUUCGCCUCCAGCUCCUGACUCUCGGGCCCAUCAUGUCCACCUGGGGCUCAUUCUUCUAGGCUCUUCUUGGUGCCCACGAGUUCCCAGAGGCAGGUUGCUAAAGAGCUGGUUCCCUAGGAGGGUCUGAGCACUGUGUUCUGGAGCCUGAGCAGAACAUGCAGAGAAGGGACCACAGCUGGAAGGUGGGAGGAGAUCUGAUGGAGGAUAAGGGCAAGGAUAAGAUGACCACCCUCUGGGAGCCCGGGAGAAGUACAGAAAGACCUUCUGAGAGGACAGAGCUGGUGACGGGUGCCCGAAGCUUGCUGUGAGCCAGGAAGAACUCUAGGAAAGGAAUGGCGGGCAGGGACAGCAACCACUCACCUGCCCAGAGUGUCAAGAGGGAAGGGGCGCUAUGUGGGGGAGCAAACUCCUUUUUCCAUUUUGUUUUUCAGUUGACAAGUAUUUUUUCUUUAUCUUCCUAGCCCCUCCUACCAUUUAAUAGGAAAACAAAACUCUUACAACAAAUACAUAUCAGGCAAAACAGAUUUCCAGUAUCCCAACAGAGUCCCAGUAUCCAUAUUCAAAAAUACUCUCAUUCUGUUUGUUGAAUCCAUCACCUGUCAGGUAAUCAGGACAGAUCAUCCUAAUUCCUCUGGAAUCACGGUCACUCAUUAAUCAAAGAUCUUGAAUCUUCCAGAAUUGUUUAUAUUUUUAUAAAACUGUUAAAUUAUAGGAAUGGUUAGAGAAUCAUUAUAAACCCUUGCUUUUAGCUGAUACAAGGAAGUCCUCUAAGUCUCUAAGGAGAUAAUGGUAGCUCAUUGAUGGAUAUUCUUUCUUAUGGGUUUGGCUAAGAGUUCUGUUUCCAUUAACUCAUGAAUAAGAUUGUUCUGUAGUUCAUUGAUGGCUAUUCUUUUCUCUGGGCUUGGACGUUAGCUCUGUAGAUUUCUAGUAACUUGCAAAUAAAAUUGUUCGUGUUAUGAGACUUGUGAGCCCAUGUGCUUGUAAGAAGAUCUGGUGGUUACUGUUGAGAUGUCAUACUGAUGUUCCCAAAUCAUCAGGAGACAGGAAGUAAGAAGAGUUUAGAGGAUCCCAAAGUGUACUCAAAAUCUCAAAAUCAGGAAGGUUUUUCUGACAGGUUUUUGCCACAUUAUUUUCUUCCCAGAGUCACAUGGGUACACUCCGAGUCUGGCUUGCUUCUUCCUCCUGUUUUUACUUCUUAGUCACACCAAGAUAGAAAUGCAGUCCAUAUUUCCUUCAGACCCUUCCUAAAAUGUAAUCCAUUACUUUCCCCCUUCUCUACAAUGGAGCUAAUAAUUUUGACAGCCAACCAAAGUGACUGAUCUGUGUCUACAAUCUUAGAUUCAGUGGACUAUUUGGGCUGUGGAUCUCAAGGGAUAUUAAACAUCUUUACAAAGUCGCCAAAUGGGCGACUAUUUUUUUUAAAAAUCUACCAAAUAAAAAUGAGCAUUUCUAUAUUUGAAGUAAGACAGAAAGAGCGUCUUACAUGAACCUGUAAAUUUUACUUUCCCUUUUAAAUUAAUAUAGGACUUGGCAAGUUGUCAUCUUUGUGUCAAUUCUGUGCAUUUAAAAAAUGCUUCAAAGACUUUUUCUUUUACAACC
ensembl:lncRNA